rnacentral:rRNA from 1 species
GUGAGGAAUUUUCCGCAAUGGGCGAAAGUCUGACGGAGCAAUGCCGCGUGAAGGAUGAAGGCCUAUGGGUUGUAAACUUCUUUUCUCAGAAAAGAAUUAUGACGGUAUCUGAGGAAUAAGCAUCGGCUAACUCUGUGCCAGCAGCCGCGGUAAGACAGAGGAUGCAAGCGUUAUCCGGAAUGAUUGGGCGUAAAGCGUCUGUAGGUUGUUUAAAAAGUAUUCUGUCAAAGAUUAGGGCUUAACCCUAGAUAGGCAGAAUAAACUUUUAAGCUAGAGUUUGGUAGAGGCAGAGGGAAUUCCCGGUGGAGCGGUGAAAUGCGUAGAUAUCGGGAGGAACACCAAAGGCGAAGGCACUCUGCUGGGCCAAUACUAACACUGAGAGACGAAAGCGAGGGGAGCAAAUGGGAUUAGAUACCCCGGUAGUCC